GAAGCAGCGGCGGAAAGUCAUGAUGGAGUCACUGUUGUCGGGCAACUCGGGGCAGAACGAUGGGGUGGAAAGGUUCUACAGAGAGCUGCUCGCCUUGUCGGUCCAAGGUGAGGAGGAAGAGGUGGAGAAGGCAAGAGAGCGCCUUG
rnacentral:ribozyme from 1 species